AGCACAAAUGAUGAGCAUUGGGACUUAAUACUGAUGUUUGCUGUGAUGUCUCAGUUGCGUACUGAUGUGU